GUGAAGGGAGUAAAUGUUGAGGUGCUGGACGUGGUGUUAAUGAAAAAUACUUUUUUUUUUCUGGAUAAUGUUGAGCUUCUUAGAGCGUCAUUGGAGCUGCAGUCAUCGAGGCAAGUGGAGAGUAUUCACACUCCUGUUUUGUGGAUGGUGUCAGAUUUGGAGGAUUCAGGUGUUCAUUCCACAAUGAAGACAUAAAAAUACACUGAACACCAGUUGGAGCAUUUUUCAAAAUAUUGUCUUUGUAUUCCUUGAACGGGAUUCCUUUGCCUCCAGGAUCCAGGAUUUCCAGUAUGCGAACUGUUUAGAUUUUGUGUUUACAUCAUGAAGGUCACCUAUUUCAGCAUCUAUGAUGUUACCAAAGUCCACCCC